UUUUAACUGGAGAGUUUGAUUCUGGCUCAGAACAAACGCUGGCGGCGUGCCUAAUACAUGCAAGUCGAACGAGGAAAGCUUUCGGGUG
rnacentral:rRNA from 1 species